AGUGAACGCUGGCGGUAGGCCUAACACAUGCAAGUCGAACGGCAGCACAGUAAGAGCUUGCUCUUACGGGUGGCGAGUGGCGGACGGGUGAGGAAUACAUCGGAAUCUACUUUUUCGUGGGGGAUAACGUAGGGAAACUUACGCUAAUACCGCAUACGACCUACGGGUGCAAGCAGGGGAUCUUCGGACCUUGCGCGAUUGAAUGAGCCGAUGUCGGAUUAGCUAGUUGGCGGGGUAAAGGCCCACCAAGGCGACGAUCCGUAGCUGGUCUGAGAGGAUGAUCAGCCACACUGGAACUGAGACACGGUCCAGACUCCUACGGGAGGCAGCAGUGGGGAAUAUUGGACAAUGGGCGCAAGCCUGAUCCAGCCAUACCGCGUGGGUGAAGAAGGCCUUCGGGUUGUAAAGCCCUUUUGUUGGGAAAGAAAAGCAGCAGGUUAAUACCCCGCUGUUCUGACGGUACCCAAAGAAUAAGCACCGGCUAACUUCGUG
rnacentral:rRNA from 1 species